rnacentral:lncRNA from 1 species
CCAGAAGGUGACAUUUUAGUGGAAGGAAACGAACCAAUAAGAUAAGUAAAUUAUUUAGUUUGUCAAAUGGGACAGGUGCUACGGGGUGGGGGGAAUUAGCCAGGGAAGAGGCCCAGGAGUGCUGAUGAGAGGGAUAGAUUGCAAUUUUGAAAACGGAUCAAGGAAGGUCUCACCGAGGAGGUGAGAUGGGAAGCCAGGGGUGGUUGCAUCCCUGCUUUUGCUGCUUGACUCUGCUCUUACUCCUAGAGGGCACAAUCUGUCAGCAAAUCCUGCCUGCUGGGCCUUCUCAUCACAACCAGAGCCAAACCACUUCUCAGCACCUCCGUUGCUUCCGCCCUCGUCUGAGCCUCCACCGCUCUCACCUGGGCGCCCUAUUUCCACCUUGUGCCUUCUGUCGAUUCCUCACUCACCAGCCCGAGGAAUCCUUGCACAGAAGUCAGAUCACAUUCCUUCCCUGUUGUCAAGGGAAGAAGACAAAUGGGCAUGAGAAGGAGAGGAUCAGGGGCUUGGAAGCCAAGAUUUUGCCAAUUUGACUUAUGCAACUUGGGCAAAAAAAAAUUUUGAGCCUCAGUCUUUUCAUCUGUGAAAUAGGGAUAACAAACUCUGAUACGAGGGGUCAGUAGUGACAAGGAUGUGAAAGCAGCCAUGAUGGCAUGGCAGGGCCUAUCUGGAGUUUGGCCUUUGCAAGGGGGUAGAUGACACCCUUGUGUGUUCUAGGUCCUUUGAGAUAGAUUAUCUCACUGAAGGCUCAGCAACUCCGCGGUGUUCCCAGAGGCAAGAAGAGCCAUUUGGAGUUAGAGGUCUCAGCUGUGAAGCCAGAACAAUAAAAAUAAAAACAGCGCGGACUCCUGGGCAGCCUGGACCAGGGAACCAACUGCCCCAAGAGUUGCUGCUCACCAGGCUGGAAGGCAAGUGGGGUUGGGGGGUUGGGAGAUGGGAGUGACCUUACGGAGCCCCUGCUAUGUCCUCCGGCCCUUACAGAGUAAGGGUAAUCUCCAAGGCUCACAACAGGCCCUCUGUCUGGGUGGCCAGACCAGUCAGGAUUUGAACUCAGUUUUCCAAACAGUAACAAUUCCCAUCUGUUCAGCAGCUACUAUGCUUUACAGACUUGUGAC